rnacentral:misc_RNA from 1 species
CGCACAUUGCGCCCGUUAGUAUUCUAACGGGCAUGCCUGUUCGAGCGUCAUUUCAACCCUCAAGCCCUAUUGGGCCUGCUGUUGGAGAUCGGCCUAUAGGUGACCCUCCGGGGCCCUGGCCGCCUCCGAAAUAUAGUGGCGGUCUCGCUGUAGCCUCCUCUGCGUAGUAAAAUACCUCGCUCUGGAACGCGGCGCGGCCAUGCCGUAAAACACCCAACUUCUGAAGGUUGACCUCGGAUCAGGUAGGAAUACCCGCUGAACUUAA